GUACACUCCUGCGGGAGGCAGCAGUGGGGAAUUUUGGACAAUGGGCGAAAGCCUGAUCCAGCAAUGCCGCGUGCAGGAUGAAGGCCUUCGGGUUGUAAACUGCUUUUGUACGGAACGAAAAAGCUCCUUCUAAUACAGGGGGCCCAUGACGGUACCGUAAGAAUAAGCACCGGCUAACUACGUGCCAGCAGCCGCGGUAAUACGUAGGGUGCGAGCGUUAAUCGGAAUUACUGGGCGUAAAGCGUGCGCAGGCGGUUAUGUAAGACAGAUGUGAAAUCCCCGGGCUCAACCUGGGAACUGCAUUUGUGACUGCAUGGCUAGAGUACGGUAGAGGGGGAUGGAAUUCCGCGUGUAGCAGUGAAAUGCGUAGAUAUGCGGAGGAACACCGAUGGCGAAGGCAAUCCCCUGGACCUGUACUGACGCUCAUGCACGAAAGCGUGGGGAGCAAACAGGAUUAGAUACCCCAGUAGUCCCAU
rnacentral:rRNA from 1 species